AAUAGGAGAGCACUCAUCUUGGGGUGGGUUUCCUACUUAGAUGCUUUCAGCAGUUAUCCGCUCCGCACUUGGCUUUACCGACGGUCCAAAGCCUUCGAUAAAUCUGUCGGUAAGUGACAUUAACGUUACCGACGGGCAUGAGCCUUCGGUAAAUCCGUCGGUAAUGUCCGUAAGUGAAAUAAUGGGCGGGAAAAUUCCCGUUCUUUUUACCGACGGCCAAAAGCCUGCGGUAAAUCCGUCAGUAAGUGACAGUGACAUUAUCGACGGAAAAGGGCCUUCGGUAAAUCCUUCGGUAAUUGACAUUGUAUUGACGGACUUGCCGAAAGCUUUUGUCCGUUGGUAAAAGAAAAUCAAAAUCCCUCGGUAAAGCCGUUGUUAAUGGAAUAUUUACCGACGGAUUCAUUUCCGUCAGUAAAAAUCCGUCGGUAAUAUUGAUAAUUUUUGUAGUCUAGGCAAUGGUUAAAUCCAGGUUUUCAUUUUUGUUGUCGGGGCCCUCUGCUAGGUAAUGGUCAUUUGGUAUCGUGACUUGAGUCAUUUUUUGUUCGUUUGCUUAUAUGAUUGAAACCCAGACGAAAUUAGUGUUUCUAUCUUUACUUAGCUUUUACUCAGAUAAUACGAAAAUAUUAAAUUUUCAUAUUAUCCGAUAACCUCUAAGUAAAAAGGAGCAGUUGUCAACACCCAAUUUCGUCCGGCUGACUAUGUAAUAGGACUUGGUUUUUAUUGUUGUCUUAUUUCAUUUUAUUUCUUUAAUUUUUUUUAUUAUUUUGUGUUAUAUUGUUACUCUUAAUUUUAUUUUACUAUUUUGUUUAGUCUUGUAAAAAAGAAAAAAAGAAAAGAAAAGAAAAAAAAAGAAGAAAAGAAAAUAAUUGCAAAAAAAAAAGAAAAAAAAGAAAAAGAAUAAAAGAGAAAAGGGAAAAGAAAAAUAACAAAAAAGGAAGAAGAAAAAACGAAAAAGAAAAACAAAAAAGGAAGGAGGAAAAAAAAGAAAAAAAGGGUGCACGUG
rnacentral:lncRNA from 1 species